rnacentral:lncRNA from 1 species
CCCCCUUGAAAGCUUUCUUUAGUGAAAUAAGAAUUUUCAUAAUUCCAACUAUUGAAAUGGUCCUCAUACUCCAAUGGUGAUUGCCACUCCAUGGCAUUGCACCCCAUGUCAUAAUACUCGCCAUAAGAAGGUGUUGGUUGGAAGGCUUCUUGGAUGAAUGGUUGCCUACAAUUUCUUUUUGCUUCUAAAACUCGCAACUUAAGUUGCAUCAUCGCCAAUUGUAGUUCGAGUUGCUCAACCAACUCAUUCCUUCCAUCAUCCAUUUAAUAUUUUUGGUGUUGUGUAAUAAUUUUCUUUUUCAUCACCCUACCAACCAACAAAAACAACGAGUCAAAACAAACAUCUUAAGAUAGAAAACAAAAAUAAAU